GUGCCAGCCGCCGCGGUAAUACCGGCAGUUCGAGUGAUGGCCGCUUUUAUUGGGCCUAAAGCGUUCGUAGCUGGCCAGUCAAGUCUGUCGGGAAAUCCAGUGGCUUAACCGCUGGGCGUCCGGCGGAAACUGACUGGCUUGGGACCGGGAGAUCCAAGGGGUACGUUCGGGGUAGGAGUGAAAUCCUAUAAUCCUGAACGGACCACCGAUGGCGAAAGCACCUUGGAAGCACGGAUCCGACAGUGAGGAACGAAAGCUGGGGUCUCGAACCGGAUUAGAUACCCGUGUAGUCC
rnacentral:rRNA from 1 species